AGAGUUUGAUCCUGGCUCAGAAUCAACGCUGGCGGCGUGCCUAACACAUGCAAGUCGAACGAGAAAGGGGAGCAAUCCCUGAGUACAGUGGCGACCGGGUGAGUAACACGUGACUACCUGCUUGAGUGGGGAAUAACUCCGGGAAACCGGGGCUAAUACCGCAUAACAUCGCAAGAUCAAAGGAGCAAUCCGCUUUUGGA
rnacentral:rRNA from 1 species